GACGAACGCUGGCGGCGUGCUUAACACAUGCAAGUCGCACGGUAAGGCCCUUCGGGGUACACGAGUGGCGAACGGGUGAGUAACACGUGGGUGAUCUGCCCUGCACUUCGGGAUAAGCCUGGGAAACUGGGUCUAAUACCGGAUAGGACCACUGCCUGCAUGGGUGGUGGUGGAAAGCUUUUGCGGUGUGGGAUGGGCCCGCGGCCUAUCAGCUUGUUGGUGGGGUGAUGGCCUACCAAGGCGACGACGGGUAGCCGGCCUGAGAGGGUGACCGGCCACACUGGGACUGAGAUACGGCCCAAACUCCUACGGGAGGCAGCAGUGGGGAAUAUUGCACAAUGGGCGCAAGCCUGAUGCAGCGACGCCGCGUGAGGGAUGACGGCCUUCGGGUUGUAAACCUCUUUCAGCACCGACGAAGCGCAAGUGACGGUAGGUGCAGAAGAAGGACCGGCCAACUACGUGCCAGCCGCCGCAGUAA
rnacentral:rRNA from 1 species